rnacentral:lncRNA from 1 species
CCCACUUGAGGAGGCAGUCUGUCUGUUCUCAGAGCUCAAAAACCAUGCUGGGAGAAUGACUGCUCUCUUCAGGGCUGUCAGACAGGGACAUUUAAGUCUUGUCAUAAAAAUAGUAACUAUAUGAGAUUUGCUUCAGUAUGGUAUCCAUUUUACUAUCUAUAUUUACCCCAUAACAUCAUGUUGUAAACCUUGAGUGUACACUAUAAAAUUUAUUAACAAUAAAAUUAAAUUAAAGUGAAUUAGGCUGGGCACAGUGCUAAGGAUUAUGCCUGUAAUCCUAGCACUUUAGGAGGCCAAGGCAAGAGGGUUGUUUGAGGUCAGGAGUUCGAGACCAGCCUGGCUAACACGGUGAAACCCCGUCUCUACUAAAAAUACAAAAAUUAGCUGGGCAUGGUGGCGCGUGCCUGUAGUCCCAGCUACACAGGAGGCUGAGGCAGGAGAAUGGCGUGAACCCGGGAGGCGGAGCUUGCAGUGAGUCGAGAUCGCGCCACUGCACUCCAGCCUGGGCGACAGAGCGAAACUCUAUCUCAAAAAAAAAAAAAAAAAAAAAAAAAUUAUAGGACAAGUAACAGAAUGAAAAUAUUUGCAACAUGUGUAAUACAAAAGGAAUGUGAGAAAAAGACCAAAAGCCCAAUAGGAAC